UACGAAGGGGGCAAGCGUUGUUCGGAAUUACUGGGCGUAAAGGGCGCGUAGGCGGCCGCCUUUGUCAGGUGUGAAAGCCCCAGGCUCAACCUGGGAAUUGCACUUGGGACGGGGUGGCUUGAGUUCGGGAGAGGAGAGUGGAAUUCCCAGUGUAGAGGUGAAAUUCGUAGAUAUUGGGAAGAACACCGGUGGCGAAGGCGGCUCACUGGCCCGAAACUGACGCUCAUGCACGACAGCGUGGGGAUCAAACAGG
rnacentral:rRNA from 1 species